ensembl:lncRNA
UUUAUGGGGCAUUAUUGUAUUUUAUGUAGCCGCUAGCUAGCUAGUCAGAAAAUACUUUUUUGAACAUUUCGCAGGAUAUGUUGUAGACGGCAAAAGUAGCUGUGGGUGCUACAGUAGCGCCUGAAUCAGGACGUUGACAUGUAGAAAAAAACGGAAAAAAACGAGGAUAUAUCCAUUCUGGGAACAAGUAAAUUCAUAGCCAACUCAACCCUCUUCUGUCCAGGCUAAAUUAACCACGCUUUUACCUUCCUUUCAUGCCACAUGACACACACCUAGCCUGCUAAGAUUACAUUUUGCCAUUAGUUUACACAGUGGCAAGAUGUAGUAAGUACCAAAUAAUAGAUUUUAUUUCACUAACAAUGAUCUAACUAACAAUUUGUUUUUGCACAGGAUUGUGGCGAUUGCAUACUGCUACUGCCUUAAAUGGAACCACUUAAUUUACAUCCAGGGAAGGGGGGCCGAGAUUACUAUGUUUUAAUUAUAUUUUGCACGAUAUACCCCUCCCCACGCACACAUACCUGAACACUUGAAAAGCAGUUGAAACAGAACAGAGAUAGUGGUUCGCAUUUUUCUACUAUGGUUAUACUCUGUCAUCACACGUUGACUUGCUCCCAGACAAUGAGACAGGUUGGCACAACACCACCGGUGUAAUGUACUGUAUCAAAUUACAGACCAUGACAAAAGGUGCAGGAACUCCACAAUACUUCUGAGCUAAUAUUCUGCUGUGCAUCACAACAAGUAGAUCAUUUGAUGUGUCAAUACUCAGUGCCGAUCAGGCAGAUCUUCAAGCAGUGUGCCCCAGCAGACGUCGCAGUUGUGCCCUGGUUAACACCCCCUCACUGUGUGCCAACAAAGCUGUUUGCCAUAUUCAGGAGCUGAAGAGGCAACUGGAGAACUGGUGUCAACAGUCAGGAAAUGUUCAGCAUCAGAUGUCUCAUGAAAAACAGAAAAAUAGCAAAACUUUUAGAUUUCAUUCCAGUGAAUCCAAGUCUUCAAUUAUGUCUACUGAGUUAUACAUUGAAGACAUUGGGCUAAGUGCAAGAACCGAAAGAAGUGAAUUAUUUUUCUCAAAUGAGAGGGAUACAGUACACAGCCUCGUGUCACAUGAUGUCCAUGAACACAAUGGAAUAUUUCUAGUAACAAAAAUGUCCAGUGUAAUGGCAUCUAUAACGUGCACAUUAUUCUGAAUCGUCCAUAUGCAGUACAGCCCCUGUUCUUUGCAGAUGCUUUCUAUACAAUGAGUCCACUCGUAGUGUAUUUUCGUUUUGCUUAGUUUAACUGAUAAUGACCAAUAUGUUUCAAUAGAUAAGGCUACUGGUAUACGUAUACUGUACAAACAUCUUUCUUCAUUCAUACGGAAGGUGGCCUGUUGUCUCCGCUGUGUAAGGAAACCACAAAGUUGGUGUAUCUGAUUGAACAUCUAGAAGCUGAUCGCCAGGAUGCAGAGGAAGCUCUACAAACAGAGAAGAAGAGGAGGUUGUAGAGUUGAAAAUAUGAAUCGAGGUAGAAGGUAGAACAUUUUCACAAUUAAAGGAAGGGAUUUCAGAGCUGCGGAAAGAAGUCCAUGCAACUAGACUUGCAGGUGAAGUGGCGGUCUCUCACACCGAGGAGGGGUUCCUUAAAAGAAACAUCAGGAUACCUUGAAUCUUCAUGAGGAAAACAAAGAGUAUGAACUGGAGAUUGAGGACUACAGCAAAAAGAUCUAUGAACAGGCAGCGAAGCAGCUUCAGAAGAACAGGAAGCACAUGCAGCAGAAGUUCAGUGUGAACGAGGACCGGAGAGCAGAGGCUAAGGAGGAGCUGUCCCAGAUGGCUACGCUGCACCCCAAUGCCAAGGUCAACUUGGAGGAGCUGGAGCAGAAGACCUUCAUGGUGGAGCAGAGGAUGCGAUGUUACUGAUGCAACACAUCAGUAUCUCCUCGGAAAGUGACUGAGAAUCCUAAGAAAGACGAGCGAGAUGAAAGCCCUGGCCAUUCUGAAGGAUAAAAGAACAACUAUUGAAGCAGAAUUACACCAGGAGCAAACCAACACAGAAAACGCCAGAUGGGGACUUCAUAAGGAAUUUGAGAAAGUGUGAAGUUUAAGGUAGACUUCACCGUCAAGAUAGAACUGCCAAAGGGGGAGGAGUUGCAGUAUACUGCAGAGAUAGCCUGCAAAGUAAUGUCAUACUUUCCAGGUCGCAGUUGCAAAUGAGAACUUGUUCUCAACUAGCCUACCUGGUUAAAUAAAGGUGAAAUAAAAAAAAAUAAAAAAGGGAGCAACUCAGUGAUUUUCCUACGGAACACAACAACACUUCAGUUUGUCUGUAAAAGGAACGGAGGCUAAAACUUGCCCAUCUAAAUACAGUCAAGGAAUUACACCAAGCUGUUACCGACGGGUGUAACCAUGCCUUGAGUAGGAUCGCAGACCUCAGUGCUAAGUCCAAAGAGUACAGAACAGGCCCUCACAUGGAGGAAACAGCAGCCGCUAUACCAGAUGUCAUUGAAGAACUACAGUUCGUCUUUGAUGCCGUAGAGUUUCAAAACCAAACAGCUAUGUUGAUCAUGAACACCUUGGAACGUGAUAUCACCAACUGUCAACAACGGAUGGAGCCAACAGUGGAAACUCAUUCUACUCUGUUCACAACCAGACAGGAGAAAAUGGAGGAAACCAACGUAACUAAACACUGGGUCAUUUGGUUGAAUACAAGGUGGUUUGGUUUAUGUUGUACUCACUGUAUUUGACUUUAGUAUCACUGUUAUUCCUAAUACAGAGCAUUUAGCUGGAAUUGUGGAUUUUAUCUCUUGAGACCAUGUACAAUUCUGAUUCCCCUGAAAUGUUGACUUGCCACUUGUUUUAACGUCAGGUAGGCUGAGUGCUUGAAACUAAAAAUGUUUUGAUUUCAAACAUGCCCAUUGGCAUUUGUUUUCAGAGUGGUACUGUAUAUUGGUAACAAACACAAGAGAAAGUCUGAAAGGGUCUUCAGCUUAUUGUGUAGUUAUUUGUGGAUUAGCGUCAGUAGAAUUACUCACCACAAUCCGUUGUGAGAAGACAACAACAGCAAUUAAAAUUACAAGCCAAG